CUUUAAGAUGUAAGUUCAAAAUACUGCCCAGGAAAGAGAGUCUGGAUCCAGCUUAUUUGGAUUAAGAGGCCUGGGCACGUGGGCUCAAGACACCAGUGUGAGAUCAGAAGAGAGGAGAGGGAAACACCAACAUGGGAGGACAUUGAUUCAAGGUUUCCCGGAGCUGACAAUGUGCCUUGUACUGUGGCAGGCUCUGGGGAUACCAAGUCCUGAAGGAAAUAGUCCCUUCUUCAAGAAGCUUACAUUCUACUGGGAAUAUGAAGGAAAUCUUCAAGAAAACUAUCAGGACACUGCCAUGAGUCCAGCCUAAUACUCCUUCAGAGAGGCAGUGCAGCAUGGUAAAUGGAGAGCUGGCCUCAAAGCCAUGAUGAACUGGGUUCAAGUCCUGCUACAAAAUCGUGAUGACCAUUUAAUCUCAAGAAAGUGACUUAAACUUUCAUUUCUGUUGGCAACUCACUAAAAGGAUAAAUUUCAGAGAAGGUUCCAACCUACGUUGGAAGGGAAAGUUACUUCAUACAGGAGUUCCAUAAAAAAUGAAAUCAUAGAUCUAGUGUAUAUCCCAAACAUGGAGAAAAUGCUGGACUUGGCACCUGAAACACCUGGGUUCAAAUCUCACCUUAGAUACUUACUCACUGCAUGAC